rnacentral:rRNA from 1 species
AACGAACGCUGGCGGCAUGCCUAACACAUGCAAGUCGAACGAGACCUUCGGGUCUAGUGGCGCACGGGUGCGUAACGCGUGGGAACCUGCCCUUAGGUUCGGAAUAACUCCCCGAAAGGGGUGCUAAUACCGGAUAAUGUCUUCGGACCAAAGAUUUAUCGCCUUUGGAUGGGCCCGCGUUGGAUUAGUUAGUUGGUAGGGUAAAAGCCUACCAAGGCGACGAUCCAUAGCUGGUCUGAGAGGAUGAUCAGCCACACUGGGACUGAGACACGGCCCAGACUCCUACGGGAGGCAGCAGUGGGGAAUAUUGGACAAUGGGCGGAAGCCUGAUCCAGCAAUGCCGCGUGAGUGAUGAAGGCCUUAGGGUUGUAAAGCUCUUUUACCCGGGAUGAUAAUGACAGUACCGGGAGAAUAAGCUCCGGCUAACUCCGUG